rnacentral:rRNA from 1 species
GAUGAACGCUAGCUACAGGCUUAACACAUGCAAGUCGAGGGGAAACGGCAUUGAGUGCUUGCACUCUUUGGACGUCGACCGGCGCACGGGUGAGUAACGCGUAUCCAACCUUCCCAUUACUGUGGGAUAACCUGCCGAAAGGCAGACUAAUACCGCAUAGUCUUCGAUGACGGGUCAGAUUUGAAGUAAAGAUUUAUCGGUAAUGGAUGGGGAUGCGUCUGAUUAUCUUGUUGGCGGGGUAACGGCCCACCAAGGCUACGAUCAGUAUGGGUUCUGAGAGGAAGGUCCCCCACAUUGGAACUGAGACACGGCCCAAACUCCUACGGGAGGCAGCAUUGAGGAAUAUUGGUCAAUGGACGGAAGUCUGAACCAGCCAAGUAGCGUGCAGGAUGACGGCCCUAUGGGUUGUAAACUGCUUUUGUAUGGGGAUAAAGUUAGGGACGUGUCCCUAUUUGCAGGUACCAUACGAAUAAGGACCGGCUAAUUCCGUGCCUGCAGCCGCGGUUAUACGGAAGGUCCAGGCUUUAUCCGGAUUUUAUUGGGUUUAAAGGGAGCGUAUGCUGUAGAUUAAGUGUGUUGUGAAAUGUAGACGCUCAACGUCUGAAUUGCAGCGCAGACUGGUUUCCUUGAGUACGCGCAACUUUGGCGGAAUUCGUCUUGUUGUGGGGAAAUGCUUAUAUAUGACGAAAAUGUCCGAUGGCUAGUGCGCUGACGUAGCUCGCGUAGUGCUGAUGCUCGAAGUGCGGGUAGCGACAUGAUAGAUGCGUGUGAGUUGAGGGUGUAUUCCUAGUGGAUAUGAGUUUAUCAUGUCUGUCACUCGUGGGGGCCCGGGACCUGCUUGUGUCUGUUAUUGGGGUGAUA